GCCUGAUGAGACACUCGCUGGCACCAGUCCUAGAAAGACUUGUACUCUUUUUGCUGCGGAUUAGCAUGCCGCAAGGUCCUUAUACGAGGAAUUCCUUGCCUGAU
rfam:Diplodia corticola strain CBS 112549 scaffold21, whole genome shotgun sequence.